rnacentral:rRNA from 1 species
GACGAACGCUGGCGGCGUGCCUAAUACAUGCAAGUCGAGCGGACUGAAUGGGAGCUUGCUCUUGUUCGGUCAGCGGCGGACGGGUGAGUAACACGUGGGCAACCUGCCCGCAAGACCGGGAUAACUCCGGGAAACCGGAGCUAAUACCGGAUAACACCGAAGACCGCAUGGUCUUUGGUUGAAAGGCGGCGCAAGCUGCCACUUGCGGAUGGGCCCGCGGCGCAUUAGCUAGUUGGUGAGGUAACGGCUCACCAAGGCGACGAUGCGUAGCCGGCCUGAGAGGGUGACCGGCCACACUGGGACUGAGACACGGCCCAGACUCCUACGGGAGGCAGCAGUAGGGAAUCUUCCGCAAUGGGCGAAAGCCUGACGGAGCGACGCCGCGUGAGCGAAGAAGGCCUUCGGGUCGUAAAGCUCUGUUGUGAGGGACGAAUGAGCGCCGUUUGAAGAAGGCGGCGCGGUGACGGUACCUCACGAGGAAGCCCCGGCUAACUACGUG